AGUGGGGGGGUGCCUAAUACAUGCAAGUCGAGCGGAUUGAUGGGAGCUUGCUCCCUGAUAUCAGCGGCGGACGGGUGAGUAACACGUGGGUAACCUGCCUGUAAGACUGGGAUAACUCCGGGAAACCGGGGCUAAUACCGGAUAACUCAUUUCCUCGCAUGAGGAAAUGUUGAAAGAUGGCUUCGGCUAUCACUUACAGAUGGACCCGCGGCGCAUUAACUAGUUGGGGAGGUAACGGCUCACCAAGGGAACGAUGCGUAACCCAACUGAAAGGGUGAUCGGCCACACUGGGACUGAAACACGGCCCAAACUCCUACGGGAGGCAGCAGUAGGGAAUCUUCCGCAAUGGACGAAAGUCUGACGGAACAACGCCCCGUGAGUGAUGAAGGUUUUCGGAUCGUAAAGCUCUGUUGUUAGGGAAGAACAAGUGCCGUUCGAAUAGGGCGGCACCUUGACGGUACCUAACCAGAAAGCCACGGCUAACUACCUGCCAGCAGCCGCGGUAAUACCUAAGUGGCAAGCGUUGUCCGGAAUUAUUGGGCGUAAAGCGCGCGCAGGUGGUUUCUUAAGUCUGAUGUGAAAGCCCACGGCUCAACCGUGGAAGGUCAUUGGAAACUGGGGAACUUGAGUGCAGAAGAAGAAAGUGGAAUUCCAAGUGUAGCGGUGAAAUGCGUAGAUAUUUGGAAGAACACCAGUGGCGAAAGCGACUUUCUGGUCUGUAACUGACACUGAAGCGCGAAAGCGUGGGGGAGCAAACAAGGAUUAGAUACCCUGGUAGUCCACCGCCGUAAACGAUGAGUGCUAAGUGUUAAGGGGGUUUCCGCCCCUUAGUGCUGCAGCUUACGCAUUAGCACUCCCGCCUGGGGGAGUACCGGUCCGCCAGACUGAAACUCAAAGGAAUUGACCGGGGGCCCGCCCAAGCGUGGAGCAUGUGGUUUAUCGAGCACGCGAGACUACAGUCUUGACAUCUCUGACACCUAAGAUAGGCUUCCCUUCGGGGACGAUGACAGUGGUGCAUGGUGUCGUCAGCUCUGUCUGGAAUGUGGGUAGUUCCCGCCACCGAGG
rnacentral:rRNA from 1 species